rnacentral:rRNA from 1 species
AAGGUUACCGAACCCUGUCAAACUCCGAAUGGAUAUACUGCAGAGCCUGGGAGUCAGACUACGAGUGAUAAGAUCCGUGGUCAAAAGGGAAACAGCCCAGACCACCGGCUAAGGUCCCAAAUGCCGUACUAAGUGGAAAAGGAUGUGGGGAUUCAUAAACAACCAGGAUGUUGGCUCAGAAGCAGCCACUCAUUUAAAGAGUGCGUAAUAGCUCACUGGUCGAGAGUCCCUGCGCCGAAAAUUUCCGGGGCUAAAGUACGGAACCGAAGCCGUGGCUGUGCAUGUAAGUGCACGGGGUAGGGGAGCGUUGCCACAGGGGUGAAGCUGGUCUGGAAGGACUGGUGGACUUGUGGGAAGUGAGAAUGUUGGUAUGAGUAGCGAAAAGAAAGGUGAGAAUCCUUUCCACCGAAAGCAUAAGGAUUCCUGAGCAACGAUCGUCGUCUCAGGGUAAGUCGGGACCUAAUCCGAGGCAAAGAGCGUAGGAGAUGGACAACAGGUUGAUAUUCCUGUACCGGCAGCAAUUGUUUGAGCGAAGGAGUGACACAGAAGGGCAGGCAGGCGCGAGACUGGAUUGUCGCGUGCAAGCGUGUAGGGUAGUGUACAGGCAAAUCCGUACACUGAAAGCCUGAGGCGUUACGCGGAGCGAGCAGAGAUGCGAGCGAAGCUGCUGAUCCCACACUGUCGAGAAAAGCUUCUAGUGAGAGAGCUGCCGCCCGUACCGUAAACCGACACAGGUAUGCGGGGAGAGAAUCCUAAGGUGCGCGGGAGAACCCUCGUUAAGGAACUCGGCAAAAUGUACCCGUAACUUCGGGAUAAGGGUAGCCGUCUUGGUGAAGGAACUAGCUUCUGGAGCUGAAGGCGGUCGCAGAGAAGAGGCCCAAGCGACUGUUUACCACAAACACAGGUGCCUGCUAAAGCGAAAGCUGACGUAUAGGUGCUGACACCUGCCCAGUGCUGGAAGGUUAAGGAAGGAUGUCCGGGCAACCAAAGCAUUCGACCGAAGCCCCAGUGAACGGCGGCCGUAACUAUAACGGUCCUAAGGUAGCGAAAUUCCUUGUCGGGUAAGUUCCGACCCGCACGAAAGGUGUAACGAUUUGGGCACUGUCUCAACGAGGGACCCGGUGAAAUUGAAAUACCUGUGAAGAUGCAGGUUACCCGCGACUGGACAGAAAGACCCCAUGGAGCUUUACUGUAACCUGACAUUGGGUUUUGUUGUAUUACGUACAGGAUAGGUGGGAGGCUUGGAAGGCUGGACGCUAGUCUGGCUGGAGCCGGCGUUGGGAUACCACCCUUGAUACCGGAAUUCUAACCGAGAGAGUAACGAAAUCCGGGACAGUGUCAGGCGGGCAGUUUGACUGGGGCG